GGAACUCGCCCUCGGGUGUCUGACGAGACUGAAAGACAAACGACAACCGGAGAGAAAGAUACACACAGACGUCUGUCCAGGUGUCAUCUUCUGAAGAGGAGAGAGCUGAACUGGGACACGUGAGUGUCAGCUAUCCCCGCUGCAGCGCUCCCCACAAAGAACCAACCCUCUGCCUUUGUUCUGUUAUCUCAGAGGUUUGGGAUGCACCUGGCUGCCACUUCACCACCACCAGCCUCACCAUCCUGCAGCUGGAGGAUUAUGGUUGCUGAAGCUGCAGACAUGGGACGUCUGUCUCGACAGAGGGAACUCCUACUGUACACCGCUGUGAUUCUCCUGACAACCCAGGAUUACAGAGUUGCCGGGAAGGAGUGCCAUCUGUUAUGUGUAAGCAUCAGGCUUUCCCACAGAGAGGCAUCCAAAAUCAUCACAACACAAUCACUGAGCCUUGGCUCUGCAGCGCUCACAGUUUUCUUGGGUUCCAUUAUUAGAUGAAGAAAGACUCUCGACUUAUAUCUAAUUUUCUGGUGUGUGAGGUUGGAAUUGAUUCAGGGAGGGAGGGGAGAGGGGAGGAACAAAGACCCACUGCACAGACUGAAUUAUUGAUGAGCAGUUUAAUCAUCUCAGUCAUGUGAUACACAUAGUGCCACAGACAUGAAAAUAUAUUUAGCCAUGAUCUUGGUGCAGGUACACACAUGCUCACUCUUACAUCUCCUCCACAUUGAUAUCACAUGACUCCGAUCAGAGUAGAGCCGGUGUCAGGUGACAUAACUUACACUGCAGAAGUCACCGUGUCUAUGACCUUUAUGUCCCAAACACUCAGUGAGGACUGAUGGAACGUUAAGCCAUUUAGACGCAUUUCUUACUCUCAACUUAAACAGAGGGCAACGCAGAAAAAACAUCACACGUCCAGGAUGUCCUCUCUUUGUUAGUUUAUGGAUGUGUUUGUUUGUUUUCCCUCAAACUUGAGAGGGUUUUACCACACAGAAAUCUCUAAAAGGCUCCAGAGAUUUCUCAUCUUGGGGCGAUGGUAGCUCAGUGGUAGAGCGAGUUGUCCUUCAACUCAGAGGUUGUGGGUU